rnacentral:pre_miRNA from 1 species
GAAUUCAACUGAAAAAGGCAUCAACAACAAAGUUGUAUAACUCAUCAAUAUCUAUAACUUUUAUUUUGGUCAUUUCUUUAUCCGGUAAAGUGAUAGUAACAUUGUUCACAAAAUUUACAUAUCUCUCUUAUAGUUCAUAAACUAUAUAAGAGAUAUAUACAUUUUGUGAACAAUGUUACAAAUCGCUUUGUUGGAUAAAGAAAUGACCCAAAUAAAAGUUAUAGAUCUUGAUGAGUUAUACGACUUUGUUAUUGAUGACUUUUUUAGUUAAAAUC